rnacentral:rRNA from 1 species
GAUGAACGCUGGCGGCGUGCCUAACACAUGCAAGUCGAGCGGCAGCGAGGGGUGCUUGCACCCUGUCGGCGAGCGGCGGACGGCUGAGUAACGCGUGGGAACGUGCCCCAAAGUGAGGAAUAACUGCCCGAAAGGGUAGCUAAUACCGCAUAUUAUCUUCGGAUCAAAGGAUUUAUCCGCUUUGGGAGCGGCUCGCGUCGGAUUAGGUAGUUGGUGAGGUAAUGGCUCACCAAGCCGACGAUCCAUAGCUGGUCUGAGAGGAUGACCAGCCAGACUGGAACUGAGACACAGUCCAGACUCCUACGGGAGGCAGCAGUGAGGAAUCUUCCACAAUGGGCGAAAGCCUGAUGGAGCAACGCCGCGUGCAGGACGAAGGCCUUCGGGUUGUAAACUGCUUUUAUAAGUGAGGAAUAUGACGGUAACUUAUGAAUAAGGAUCGGCUAACUACGUG